rnacentral:rRNA from 1 species
CACGUAGGGGGCGAGCGUUGUCCGGAUUUAUUGGGCGUAAAGAGCUCGUAGGCGGCUCAGUAAGUCGGGUGUGAAAACUCCAGGCUCAACCUGGAGACGCCACCCGAUACUGCUGUGGCUAGAGUCCGGUAGGGGAGCAUGGAAUUCCUGGUGUAGCGGUGAAAUGCGCAGAUAUCAGGAGGAACACCGGUGGCGAAGGCGGUUCUCUGGGCAUUACCUGACGCUGAGGAGCGAAAGUGUGGGGAGCGAACAGG